rnacentral:rRNA from 1 species
AUGAACGCUGGCGGCGUGCUUAACCCAUGCAAGUCGAACGGAAAGGCCCAAGCUUGCUUGGGUACUCGAGUGGCGAACGGGUGAGUAACACGUGGGUGAUCUGCCCUGCACUUCGGGAUAAGCCUGGGAAACUGGGUCUAAUACUGGAUAGGACCACUUCUUGGAUGGUGUGGUGGAAAGUUUUUUCGGUGUGGGAUGAGCUCGCGGCCUAUCAGCUUGUUGGUGGGGUAAUGGCCUACCAAGGCGUCGACGGGUAGCCGGCCUGAGAGGGUGUACGGCCACAUUGGGACUGAGAGACGGCCCAGACUCCUACGGGAGGCAGCAGUGGGGAAUAUUGCACAAUGGGCGCAAGCCUGAUGCAGCGACGCCGCGUGGGGGAUGACGGCCUUCGGGUUGUAAACUCCUUUCGCUAGGGACGAAGCGUUUUUGUGACGGUACCUGGAGAAGAAGCACCGGCUAACUACGUG